rnacentral:lncRNA from 1 species
AUGAGGCAUGUAAGUGAGGUCAUAAAGGUCUUACAGGAAUGGUGUCCUUUUAAGAAAAGGAAGAUACACCAGAACUGUCUCUUUACAGGCACAGAAGAAAGGUCAUCUGCAACCAAAGGAGACAGACAUCAACAGACUCUGACUGUACUGGCCAUUGAUCUUGCCUUCCAGUGCCCCACACAGAGCAGCAAACCUUGGAAUUACAUCAUCAUGGAAAUAAAACAAAAAGCAAAAGAAGAUGAGCCAUCCUUAAGGGGAUUCUGGAAGGGUCCAUUGGUAAAAUAAUGUUUUCAAUAUCCCAGUGACAUUACCAGCAAUCUCACUCAGUGGAAAAUAAUUGUAGUAUCAAACUUUCUCAAAGAAUGAAAACAUCUCUAAUAUAGUGAACAGGUCAGUUGAUCCACAGAGGGAGCAUAGGAAAAUGGCCCUUCUUUUCUUUUUGUGAGCUUCCCUUUUCCUAAAUGGUAGUUAAUCAAUCACAACACCUACUUGCUUGCCACAGAAAUGGAAAAUUGAUCUCUGCUAACUAAUCACUGAUCCCAUCUCACUGGCCUUGGUGAUUGUCCAGCUUUGCCAUAUAAUCCAGGCGGAGCCAAUCAAGGCACUUUUGGGGGAAAUUAUAUGUAUACCAGGGGAGAAAGGAUCUCCCUUCCUCUGAGAUUGCAAAUACUAAGUGUCACGUAAAGCUACAGCAUUCCAGAGCUAUUUUUACUGUUCAUGGACAGAACCUGGCUAAAAAUAAAUGAUUUCAAUGAAAAACAGAGGAGUGAGAGAUUCUUAAUGACAUUAUUCACAAUUCUGGAUCUAAUUGUGCAUAAAGGUCAUCUAAUUACUUUGAUUUCCAAAUUAAAG